rnacentral:ncRNA from 1 species
UAGUUUUUCCCUACUGAUGACAAAUCGUUGCGAUAGUAAUCCUGCUCAGUACGAGAGGAACCGCGGGAUCAGACAUUUGGUUCAUGCGCUCGGCUGAAAGGCCGGUGGCGCGAAGCUAGCAUCUGCAAGAUUAUGACUGAACGCCUCUAAGUCAGAAUCUUUUCUAGUCAUUGGCAACGAUAAGUUGCGUCCAGACUCGAUGCGAGGAAACGAUUAGGCUUUGCUGCUAUACGGCGAAGCCAUUAUCAGACCACGGUAGCAGGCAGUAUGGGAUUGUUACGAAGAAGCAAUUUUUUGAAGUCAGUUGAAUUCAAUGAAACUGCUAACAAUUCCACUGCGAAUGACUCCAUUCGAAUCAAUCGAAGCACAGCGGUCAGGAUGUCGAACAUUUUGCAGACGACAAAAAUACCGGUUCAGGUGUCGUAAUCAGUAGAGCAGUCAACACACUGCGAUCUGAUGAGACUCAUCCUUGUAAUCGAUUUGCUCGU